UGAGUCUGCUGGCGUCGGAUGGACACGGUGCGCAUUUUUAUUCUAAAAAAUAGUUUUUAGUGGUUCCUCGCAAGUUUUUUCACAAGAAAAGUUGUAACUAAUCACGAAGGAAGUGAAUUUUACCAAAAAACGAUCUACUUUGAACGACGCCUGUGAAGUAGAGUUGCAAGAACCGCUACAAUCUACAUCGAAAGAAGAAGAGAAAGAUACACGUAAAAUGAAAAAAGAAAGAGUGAACAAAAGAACUAAUAACAAUAGGAUGGUGGAAUCAUUAAGAGGGAAGGAAAAAGAAGUGAAUUUUACCAAAAAACGAUCUACUUUGAACGACGCUUGUGAAGUAGAGUUGCAAGAACCGCUACAAUCUACAUCGAAAGAAGAAAAAGAUAUGCUUAAAAUGAAAGAAGAAAGAGUAACGAAAAGAUCUAUUAACAACAGGAUGGUGGAAUCACUAAGAGGGAAGGAAGUAAGUAUAUAAGUUAUAUAUACAAAAAAUGCAUACUUAUAUAAGAUCGGUUAGCAAGUUUUUUUUUUUCAGAACGAUAUGCCGAAUUCCUCCGAAGUAAAUAACGAUCUCAACGAGGGAGACUUUAUUCUUGCUGCAUUUCAGUCGAUCAAAGGCAAAAGAACCUACAAAUACGUUUGCCUUAUUGAUCAAAUCAACCAAGAAAAAAUUUUAGUAAAAGGACUCAAAUCUUAUAAAAAUAACAGAGAAUUUAGGUUAGUUGAAGAUGAUAUUUCAAUUAUAGAAAAAAAAGAUGUGAUCUCACGUUUACCAAAACCUGUGUUAAAUGAACAAAGAGACACUGUGAUAUUUCCUUAUAAGGUAGAGAUAUUUGAAUGUAAGUAAACAAGUUACCCUUUCUGAGAGAAUGGACAUUUGGGAAAUGUAAACAAUUAUUCAUAUAGUAUUAAGUACAAAAACGUUAUUUAAUUUAAGUGUUAAAACUAAUUUCAUGUUACUAAUAGAAGCUUAUAAACGUAAUAAAUUACGUUACGUUACGAUUUUUCAUAUUAAUUAGUAUGGUAUUCAGUACAAAAACUUUAUUUAAUUUAAGUAUAUACCAAAAGACUUAUUUCUUGUUAGUUACUAGUAAAUAGUUUCAAAAUAUAACUAAAAAAGACUGUAUAAAUAAACAUAAAAUAUUUUAUUAUUAUGAUUAAUAAAAAUAAGCUAGACAAAAUAGUUUAAGUAUGCAUAAAAAACUUUUUUCUUGGCAUUAAUUAAAGCUAGGAAACGUAACUUUGCAACCUUACUAAUUAGUAAAUAGUUUGAUAAAAGUU